rnacentral:rRNA from 1 species
GAUGAACGCUGGCGGCGUGCCUAAUACAUGCAAGUCGAGCGAACAGACGAGGAGCUUGCUCCUCUGACGUUAGCGGCGGACGGGUGAGUAACACGUGGAUAACCUACCUAUAAGACUGGGAUAACUUCGGGAAACCGGAGCUAAUACCGGAUAAUAUAUUGAACCGCAUGGCUCAAUAGUGAAAGACGGUUUUGCUGUCACUUAUAGAUGGAUCCGCGCCGCAUUAGCUAGUUGGGAAGGUAACGGCUUACCAAGGCAACGAUGCGUAGCCGACCUGAGAGGGUGAUCGGACACACUGGAACUGAGGAACGGUCCAGACUCCUACGGGAGGCAGCAGUAGGGAAUCUUCCGCAAUGGGCGAAAGCCUGACGGAGCAACGCCGCGUGAGUGAUGAAGGUCUUCGGAUCGUAAAACUCUGUUAUUAGGGAAGAACAAAUGUGUAAGUAACUAUGCACGUCUUGACGGUACCUAAUCAGAAAGCCACGGCUAACUACGUG